rnacentral:rRNA from 1 species
GAUGAACGCUGGCGGCGUGCCUAAUACAUGCAAGUCGAGCGAACAGACGAGGAGCUUGCUCCUCUGAUGUUAGCGGCGGACGGGUGAGUAACACGUGGAUAACCUACCUAUAAGACUGGGAUAACUUCGGGAAACCGGAGCUAAUACCGUAUAACAUGUUGAACCGCAUGGUUCAACAGUGAAAGACGGUCUUGCUGUCACUUAUAGAUGGAUCCGCGCCGCAUUAGCUAGUUGGUAAGGUAACGGCUUACCAAGGCAACGAUGCGUAGCCGACCUGAGAGGGUGAUCGGCCACCCUGGAACUGAGACACGGUCCAGACUCCUACGGGAGGCAGCAGUAGGGAAUCUUCCGCAAUGGGCGAAAGCAUGACGGAGCAACGCCGCGUGAGUGAAGAAGGUCUUCGGAUCGUAAAACUCUGUUAUUAGGGAAGAACAAAUGUGUAAGUAACUAUGCACGUCUUGACGGUAACUAAUCAGAAAGCCACGGCUAACUACGUG